GAUAAACGCUGGCGGCGUGCCUAAUGCAUGCAAGUCGAACGGAUAGUUUCUUCGGAGGCUAUUAGUGGCAAACGGGUGAGUAACACGUGGGGAUCUGCCCAGUAGUGGGGAACAACUCCGAGAAAUCGGAGCUAAUACCGCAUACGGUCUGUGUCGAGGGACACGAGACUAAAGCCGACGUAAGAAGGCGCUAUUGGAGGAACCUGCGGCUGAUUAGCUAGUUGGUGGGAAGCCUACCAGCGAUGAUCAGUAGCUGGUCUGAGAGGAUGGACAGCCACACUGGGACUGAGACACGGCCAGACUCCUACGGGAGGCAGCAGUGGGGAAUAGUUGACAAUGGGCGCAAGCCUGAUCCAGCCAUGCCGCGUGAGUGAUGAAGGCCCUAGGGUU
rnacentral:rRNA from 1 species